GCCUCGGUGGUGUAGUGGUAGAGCACGCGUCCCCGGAUAGGACGAAACGGUGGUUCGAUUCCCACCUGAGGCC